rnacentral:rRNA from 1 species
UACGUAGGUGGCAAGCGUUAUCCGGAAUUAUUGGGCGUAAAGCGCGCGCAGGCGGUUUCUUAAGUCUGAUGUGAAAGCCCACGGCUCAACCGUGGAGGGUCAUUGGAAACUGGGGAACUUGAGUGCAGAAGAGAAAAGCGGAAUUCCACGUGUAGCGGUGAAAUGCGUAGAGAUGUGGAGGAACACCAGUGGCGAAGGCGGCUUUGUGGUCUGUAACUGACGCUGAGGCGCGAAAGCGUGGGGAGCAAACAGG